rnacentral:rRNA from 1 species
CAUGCAAGUCGAACGGGAUCCCUUGGCUUCAAUUCUUCGGAAGAGAAGCCUUGGGUGAGAGUGGCGAAAGGGUGAGUAACGCGUGGGCAACCUGCCCCCGAGUUGGGGACAACCCAGGGAAACUUGGGCUAAUACCGAAUGUGGCCCCGGUCCGCAUGGACGGGAGGCUGAAGGUGGGGAUUCUCGGAAACCUGUCGCUAGGAGAGGAGCCCGCGUCCUAUCAGCUUGUUGGUAAGGUAAUGGCUUACCAAGGCUUACGGGUAGCUGGUCUGAGAGGAUGGUCAGCCACACUGGGACUGAGACACUGCCCAGACUCCUACGGGAGGCUGCAGUCGAGGAUCAUUCGCAAUGCGCGAAAGCGUGACGAUGCGACGCUGCGUGGAGGAUGACGGCCUUCGGGUUGUAAACUCCUGUCAUUUGGGAACAACGGUAGUAGGGAAUAAUACCCUUUUAUUUGAUAGUACCAGAAGAGGAAGCCACGGCUAACUCUGUGCCAGCAGCCGCGGUAAUACAGAGGUGGCGAGCGUUGUUCGGAUUUACUGGGCGUAAAGGGUGCGUAGGCGGCAUGGUAAGUCGGGUGUGAAAUCUCACCGCUCAACGGUGAAACUGCAUUCGAAACUGCAGGUCUUGAGUACAGGAGGGGAGAGCGGAAUUCUUGGUGUAGCGGUGAAAUGCGUUGAUAUCAAGAGGAACACCGGUGGCGAAGGCGACUCUCUGGAAUGUAACUGACGCUGAGGCACGAAAGCGUGGGGAGCAAACAGGAUUAGAUACCCUGGUAGUCCACGCCGUAAACGUUGCGGACUUGGUGUUGGAGGUAUUGACCCCUCCAGUGCCGGAGCUAACGCAUUAAGUCCGCCGCCUGGGGAGUACGGCCGCAAGGCUAAAACUCAAAGAAAUUGACGGGGGCCCGCACAAGCGGAGGAGCAUGUGGCUUAAUUCGAUGCAACGCGAAGAACCUUACCAGGGCUUGACAUGUAGCUGCACGCUCCCCGAAAGGGGAGAAGCCUUCGAGGGUGCUACACAGGUGCUGCAUGGCUGUCGUCAGUUCGUGCCGUGAGGUGUUGGGUUAAGUCCCGCAACGAACGCAACCCUUGUGUCUAGUUGCCACCGCAGUUUACUGCGAGCACUUUAGACAGACUGCCCGUGUAAGCGGGAGGAAGGUGGGGAUGACGUCAAGUCAGUAUGGCCCUUAUGUCCUGGGCUGCACACGUGCUACAAUGGCCGGUACAAUGGGACGCAAUACCGCGAGGUGGAGCAAAUCCUUAAAGCCGGUCUCAGUUCGGAUUGGAGUCUGCAAUUCGACUCCAUGAAGCUGGAUUCGCUAGUAACGGCGCAUCAGCUACGGCGCCGUGAAUAUGUUCCCGGGCCUUGUACACACCGCCCGUCACAUCAUGAAAGCCCUCUGCACCCGAAGUCACUGAGCCAACCCGCAAGGGGGGCAGGCGCCGAAGGUGUGG